GACGAACGCUGGCGGCGUGCUUAACACAUGCAAGUCGAACGGAAAGGCCCUGCUUUUGUGGGGUGCUCGAGUGGCGAACGGGUGAGUAACACGUGAGUAACCUGCCCUUGACUUUGGGAUAACUUCAGGAAACUGGGGCUAAUACUGGAUAGGAGCUCCUGCUGCAUGGUGGGGGUUGGAAAGUUUCGGCGGUUGGGGAUGGACUCGCGGCUUAUCAGCUUGUUGGUGGGGUAGUGGCUUACCAAGGCUUUAACGGGUAGCCGGCCUGAGAGGGUGACCGGCCACAUUGGGACUGAGAUACGGCCCAGACUCCUACGGGAGGCAGCAGUGGGGAAUAUUGCACAAUGGGCGGAAGCCUGAUGCAGCAACGCCGCGUGCGGGAUGACGGCCUUCGGGUUGUAAACCGCUUUCGCCUGUGACGAAGCGUGAGUGACGGUAAUGGGUAAAGAAGCACCGGCUAACUACGUG
rnacentral:rRNA from 1 species